rnacentral:lncRNA from 1 species
AAUUUACUAAAACUCACUGUGUUAUUCCCUUUAGGUACGUGAAGUUUGUGGCAAGCAAAUUAUACCUUAGUAAAGCCAUUUAAAAAAUGUAGUGCAAGUGUGACCGUAAGUCACGGAGGAAGGGGUAUGCAGUCAUUUUUUUCUACAACAGUAAGCAACAUCCCCUCUCUUUCCCUGUUCCGCAUCCUGCCUACAUGUCCUGCCUGGUCGCCUGGCUCCUCCACGUGCACUUGAUGCUCCAGCCAGAUAGACUGUGCACACCUGGGCAGAGGGAGUGCUGGUGAGUGCACAUGUCUACGUGUGUGUCUGUGUGCGGUGUGCACGCGUUCCUGCGCAGGCACCCUGUGGGUGCAUGCACUAGUGACUGUCAAUCCUCUGUCUGUGGGCUGGCUCCCAUAAUCCAUGCUACGUCCUGAAUUCCACUGCCGGUUUUUCUGUUCACCAAUCUCAAGGACCUGGCUUCAGUUUCUCUGGUAACCAACCUCAGCCCUUAGCUUCAACCUCUGAGCACAGGAAGACAGCCAGAGUGGGGAGGGGUGUUGUCUCACCCACAGGGCCCCUGCCGGAGCUGAGCACCCCAAUGGGAUGAGUGGCAGCACGGUUACCAAGACAACAGAACUCUCGACCCCUUUCCACCUGCAAGGCUCUUCUCCCUCUCCUGGGCCUGCCGAGCAUCAGGUCGGAAAGGAAUACUCCUCAUGAAGUCUAUCCAGUCACAUCUAGUUAAGACCAGCAGCACUCUCCUGUCCAAAUGGAUGACCCAUGUUACGACUAAGGAACAGAAGACCAAAUAACAAACUGCUCCUCAGAUCCAUUAUGGAGGCCUUCUUGGCUCAAUUCCUGAAUAUGAUAUAUCCUUAUAAUUUUGUUUUCUCUCCAAAAAAGAAUAUGCUGGCAAUGAAAGGAGUUCAUCUUGUCUAAGAGGAGGGACUGGAAAAAUAAUUUAUUUUGAGAUAGGGUCUCACUCUGUUGCCCAGGCUGGAGUGCAGUGGUGCAAUCUCGGCUCACUGCAACCUCUGUCUCCUGGGUUCAAGCGAUUCUUGUGCCUCAGCCUCCACAGUAGCUGGGACUACAGGCACGGGCCACCACGCCUGGCCAAUUUUUGUAUUUUUAGUAGAUACGGGGUUUCACCAUGUUGGCCCAGCUGGUCUCGAACUCCUGAUCUCAAGUGAUCCUCCCACCUUGGCCUCCCAAAGUGCUGGGAUUUGUUUUUAAUUUUUAAAAAUUAGCCAGGUUUUGCCAGGCGUGGUGGCUCUCACCUGUAAUCCCA